rnacentral:rRNA from 1 species
GCUCAGGACGAACGCUGGCGGCGUGCCUAAUACAUGCAAGUCGAGCGGACAGAAGGGAGCUUGCUCCCGGAUGUUAGCGGCGGACGGGUGAGUAACACGUGGGUAACCUGCCUGUAAGACUGGGAUAACUCCGGGAAACCGGAGCUAAUACCGGAUAGUUCCUUGAACCGCAUGGUUCAAGGAUGAAAGACGGUUUCGGCUGUCACUUACAGAUGGACCCGCGGCGCAUUAGCUAGUUGGUGAGGUAACGGCUCACCAAGGCGACGAUGCGUAGCCGACCUGAGAGGGUGAUCGGCCACACUGGGACUGAGACACGGCCCAGACUCCUACGGGAGGCAGCAGUAGGGAAUCUUCCGCAAUGGACGAAAGUCUGACGGAGCAACGCCGCGUGAGUGAUGAAGGUUUUCGGAUCGUAAAGCUCUGUUGUUAGGGAAGAACAAGUGCAAGAGUAACUGC